rnacentral:rRNA from 1 species
UAGAGCACUGUUUCGGCUAGGGGGUCAUCCCGACUUACCAACCCGAUGCAAACUGCGAAUACCGGAGAAUGUUAUCACGGGAGACACACGGCGGGUGCUAACGUUCGUCGUGAAGAGGGAAACAACCCAGACCGCCGGCUAAGGUCCCAAAGUCAUAAUUAAGUGGGAAACGAAGUGGGAAGGCUCAGACAGCCAGGAUGUUGGCUUAGAAGCAGCCAUCAUUUAAAGAAAGCGUAAUAGCUCACUGGUCGAGUCGGCCUGCGCGGAAGAUGUAACGGGGCUAAAUUAUGCACCGAAGCCGCGGCAGCGAUAUGUAAAUAUUGUUGGGUAGGGGAGCGUUCUGUAAGCCUGUGAAGGUGGCCUGUGAGGGCUGCUGGAGGUAUCAGAAGUGCGAAUGCUGACAUAAGUAACGAUAAUGCGGGUGAAAAACCCGCACGCCGGAAGACCAAGGGUUCCUGUCCAACGUUAAUCGGGGCAGGGUGAGUCGACCCCUAAGGCGAGGCUGAAAAGCGUAGUCGAUGGGCAACGGGUUAAUAUUCCCGUACUGGUGGUAACUGCGAAGGGGGGACGGAGAAAGCUAAAUCAUCCGGGCGACGGUUGUCCCGGUUUAAGCGUGCAGGUGGACUGACCAGGCAAAUCCGGUCGGUUGUUAACACUGAGGCGUGACGACGAGCCACCACGGUGGUGAAGUGAUUGAUGCUCUGCUUCCGGGAAAAGCCUCUAAGCUCCAGGUUACCAUUAAUCGUACCCCAAACCGACACAGGUGGUCAGGUAGAGAAUACUCAGGCGCUUGAGAGAACUCGGGUGAAGGAACUAGGCAAAAUGGUGCCGUAACUUCGGGAGAAGGCACGCUGGCAUUAGGUGAAGUGGUUUACCCAUGGAGCUGAAGCCAGCCGCAGAUACCAGCUGGCUGCAACUGUUUAUUAAAAACACAGCACUGUGCAAACACGAAAGUGGACGUAUACGGUGUGACGCCUGCCCGGUGCCGGAAGGUUAAUUGAUGAGGUUAGCGUAAGCGAAGCUUCUGAUCGAAGCCCCGGUAAACGGCGGCCGUAACUAUAACGGUCCUAAGGUAGCGAAAUUCCUUGUCGGGUAAGUUCCGACCUGCACGAAUGGCGUAAUGAUGGCCAGGCUGUCUCCACCCGAGACUCAGUGAAAUUGAACUCGCUGUGAAGAUGCAGUGUACCCGCGGCAAGACGGAAAGACCCCGUGAACCUUUACUAUAGCUUGACACUGAACAUUGAGCCUUGAUGUGUAGGAUAGGUGGGAGGCAACGAAGCGUGGACGCCAGUCUGCGCGGAGCCAUCCUUGAAAUACCACCCUUUAACGUUUGAUGUUCUAACCCGGGUCCAUAAUCUGGAUCGGGGACCGUGUCUGGUGGGUAGUUUGACUGGGGCGGUCUCCUCCCAAAGAGUAACGGAGGAGCACGAAGGUUGGCUAAGCAUGGUCGGACAUCAUGCGGUUAGUGCAAAGGCAUAAGCCAGCUUGACUGCGAGAGUGACGGCUCGAGCAGGUACGAAAGUAGGUCUUAGUGAUCCGGUGGUUCUGAAUGGAAGGGCCAUCGCUCAACGGAUAAAAGGUACUCCGGGGAUAACAGGCUGAUACCGCCCAAGAGUUCAUAUCGACGGCGGUGUUUGGCACCUCGAUGUCGGCUCAUCACAUCCUGGGGCUGAAGUAGGUCCCAAGGGUAUGGCUGUUCGCCAUUUAAAGUGGUACGCGAGCUGGGUUUAGAACGUCGUGAGACAGUUCGGUCCCUAUCUGCCGUGGGCGCUGGAAGAUUGAGAGGGGUUGCUCCUAGUACGAGAGGACCGGAGUGAACGCACCACUGGUGUACGGGUUGUGAUGCCAAUUGCAUUGCCCGGUAGCUAAGUGCGGAAGAGAUAACCGCUGAAAGCAUCUAAGCGGGAAACUUGCCUCGAGAUGAGUCUUCCCUGACCCUUUAAGGGUCCUGAAGGAACGUUUGAGACUAAGACGUUGAUAGGCUGGGUGUGUAAGCGCAGCGAUGCGUUGAGCUGACCAGUACUAAUGAACCGAGAGGCUUAACCUGACAACACCGAAGGUGUUU